GAUGAACGCUGGCGGCGUGCCUAAUACAUGCAAGUCGAGCGAACGGACGAGAAGCUUGCUUCUCUGAUGUUAGCGGCGGACGGGUGAGUAACACGUGGAUAACCUACCUAUAAGACUGGGAUAACUUCGGGAAACCGGAGCUAAUACCGGAUAAUAUUUUGAACCGCAUGGUUCAAAAGUGAAAGACGGUCUUGCUGUCACUUUUGGUGGGAUCCGCGCUGCAUUAGCUAUUUGGUAAGUUAACGGCUUACCAAGGCAACGAUGCAUAGCCGACCUGAGAGGGUGAUCGGCCACACUGGAACUGAGACACGGUCCAGACUCCUACGGGAGGCAGCAGUAGGGAAUCUUCCGCAAUGGGCGAAAGCCUGACGGAGCAACGCCGCGUGAGUGAUGAAGGUCUUCGGAUCGUAAAACUCUGUUAUUAGGGAAGAACAUAUGUGUAAGUAACUGUGCACAUCUUGACGGUACCUAAUCAGAAAGCCACGGCUAACUACGUG
rnacentral:rRNA from 1 species